rnacentral:rRNA from 1 species
GACGAACGCUGGCGGCGUGCUUAACACAUGCAAGUCGAACGGAAAGGCCCUGCUUUUGUGGGGUGCUCGAGUGGCGAACGGGUGAGUAACACGUGAGUAACCUGCCCUUGACUUUGGGAUAACUUCAGGAAACUGGGGCUAAUACCGGAUAGGAGCUCCUGCUGCAUGGUGGGGGUUGGAAAGUUUCGGCGGUUGGGGAUGGACUCGCGGCUUAUCAGCUUGUUGGUGGGGUAGUGGCUUACCAAGGCUUUGACGGGUAGCCGGCCUGAGAGGGUGACCGGCCACAUUGGGACUGAGAUACGGCCCAGACUCCUACGGGAGGCAGCAGUGGGGAAUAUUGCACAAUGGGCGGAAGCCUGAUGCAGCAACGCCGCGUGCGGGAUGACGGCCUUCGGGUUGUAAACCGCUUUCGCCUGUGACGAAGCGUGAGUGACGGUAAUGGGUAAAGAAGCACUGGCUAACUACGUGCCAGCAGCCGCGGUGAUACGUAGGGUGCGAGCGUUGUCCGGAUUUAUUGGGCGUAAAGGGCUCGUAGGUGGUUGAUCGCGUCGGAAGUGUAAUCUUGGGGCUUAACCCUGAGCGUGCCUUCGAUACGGGUUGACUUGAGGAAGGUAGGGGAGAAUGGGAUUCCUGGUGGAGCGGUGGAAUGCGCAGAUAUCAGGAGGAACACCAGUGGCGAAGGCGGUUCUCUGGGCCUUUCCUGACGCUGAGGAGCGAAAGCGUGGGGAGCGAACAGGCUUAGAUACCCUGGUAGUCCACGCUGUAAACGGUGGGUACUAGGUGUGGGGUCCAUUCCACGGGUUCCGUGCCGUAGCUAACGCUUUAAGUACCCCGCCUGGGGAGUACGGCCGCAAGGCUAAAACUCAAAGGAAUUGACGGGGCCCCGCACAAGCGGCGGAGCAUGCGGAUUAAUUCGAUGCAACGCGUAGAACCUUACCUGGGUUUGACAUGGAUCGGGAGUGCUCAGAGAUGGGUGUGCCUCUUUUGGGGUCGGUUCACAGGUGGUGCAUGGCUGUCGUCAGCUCGUGUCGUGAGAUGUUGGGUUAAGUCCCGCAACGAGCGCAACCCUUGUUCACUGUUGCCAGCACGUUAUGGUGGGGACUCAGUGGAGACCGCCGGGGUCAACUCGGAGGAAGGUGGGGAUGACGUCAAGUCAUCAUGCCCCUUAUGUCCAGGGCUUCACGCAUGCUACAAUGGCUGGUACAGAGAGUGGCGAGCCUGUGAGGGUGAGCGAAUCUCGGAAAGCCGGUCUCAGUUCGGAUUGGGGUCUGCAACUCGACCUCAUGAAGUCGGAGUCGCUAGUAAUCGCAGAUCAGCAACGCUGCGGUGAAUACGUUCCCGGGGCU